UACGGGGGGGGGCAAGCGUUGUUCGGAAUUACUGGGCGUAAAGGGCUGGUAGGCGGCCAACUAAGUCGGAUGUGAAAUCCCCAGGCUUAACCUGGGAACUGCAUCCGAUACUGGUCGGCUUGAAUCCGGGAGAGGGAUGCAGAAUUCCAGGUGUAGCGGUGAAAUGCGUAGAUAUCUGGAGGAAUACCGGUGGCGAAGGCGGCAUCCUGGACCGGCAUUGACGCUGAACAGCGAAAGCUAGGGGAGCAAACGGG
rnacentral:rRNA from 1 species